UGGGGAAUUUUGGACAAUGGGCGAAAGCCUGAUCCAGCAAUGCCGCGUGUGUGAAGAAGGCCUUCGGGUUGUAAAGCACUUUUGUCCGGAAAGAAAUCCUUGGCUCUAAUACAGUCGGGGGAUGACGGUACCGGAAGAAUAAGCACCGGCUAACUACGUGCCAGCAGCCGCGGUAAUACGUAGGGUGCAAGCGUUAAUCGGAAUUACUGGGCGUAAAGCGUGCGCAGGCGGUUUGCUAAGACCGAUGUGAAAUCCCCGGGCUCAACCUGGGAACUGCAUUGGUGACUGGCAGGCUAGAGUAUGGCAGAGGGGGGUAGAAUUCCACGUGUAGCAGUGAAAUGCGUAGAGAUGUGGAGGAAUACCGAUGGCGAAGGCAGCCCCCUGGGGCCAAUACUGACGCUCAUGCACGAAAGCGUGGGGAGCAAACAGGAUUAGAUACCCUGGUAGUCCACGCCCUAAACGAUGUCAACUAGUUGUUGGGGAUUCAUUUCCUUAGUAACGUAGCUAACGCGUGAAGUUGACCGCCUGGGGAGUACGGUCGCAAGAUUAAAACUCAAAUGAAUUGACGGGGUCAUAGCUGUUUCCU
rnacentral:rRNA from 1 species